rnacentral:rRNA from 1 species
GACGAACGCUGGCGGCGUGCCUAAUACAUGCAAGUCGAACGCUGAAGGAGGAGCUUGCUUCUCUGGAUGAGUUGCGAACGGGUGAGUAACGCGUAGGUAACCUGCCUGGUAGCGGGGGAUAACUAUUGGAAACGAUAGCUAAUACCGCAUAAUAUUGACUAUUGCAUGAUAGUCAGUUGAAAGGUGCAACUGCACCACUACCAGAUGGACCUGCGUUGUAUUAGCUAGUUGGUGGGGUAACGGCUCACCAAGGCGACGAUACAUAGCCGACCUGAGAGGGUGAUCGGCCACACUGGGACUGAGACACGGCCCAGACUCCUACGGGAGGCAGCAGUAGGGAAUCUUCGGCAAUGGACGGAAGUCUGACCGAGCAACGCCGCGUGAGUGAAGAAGGUUUUCGGAUCGUAAAGCUCUGUUGUAAGAGAAGAACGAGUGUGAGAGUGGAAAGCUCAAACUGUGACGGUAUCUUACCAGAAAGGGACGGCUAACUACGU